rnacentral:rRNA from 1 species
AAAAGCAGGGGAUCGCAAGACCUUGCGCUCUUGGAGCGGCCGAUGUCUGAUUAGCUAGUUGGUGAGGUAAAGGCUUACCAAGGCGACGAUCAGUAGCUGGUAUGAGAGGACGACCAGCCACACUGGGACUGAGACACGGCCCAGACUCCUACGGGAGGCAGCAGUGGGGAAUUUUGGACAAUGGGGGAAACCCUGAUCCAGCCAUGCCGCGUGAGUGAAGAAGGCCUUCGGGUUGUAAAGCUCUUUCAGCCGGAACGAAACGGUCACGGCUAAUACCUGUGACUACUGACGGUACCGGAAGAAGAAG